GAUCCCUUCAGAGAAACUGCCCAACAACAGAAAGCCUGUGUUGUGAGGCCAUUGCACUGAUGAAGCAUACAGCUGAUGAAGCAAUUGUAAAGGAGAAGAUGAAGCAGAUGUUCGCCUAUCGCCAAAAGAUGGUUCAUGACCCAGUGAAGUCCUCUGAAAUAUUCACAGCAAUUCAAAGACAUAGCAGGAAUGAUUGAGCAAGAUUUUAGUGAUGCAACCUCUGCAAAGUUCCUGGAGAAGUGGCCUACUCUCUCCAAGCAGAAAGUUAUUGACCAAAGCCGUGGCCUCACACACAGGCGACCUGCAAGAGCUGGUUCAAGAUGCUGAAUCCACAACAGAAGUGGAAAAUCGUAUGCUGGAAUAAAAGAUGGGACAGUGACAUGUCCUCCAUUUUGGUCCUUGUCCACCUUAUACCACCGUCACCUCAUGGCCACAAGAGACCUGGAAAAAUAUCAGCCAGACACACCAGUAACCACAUUGUGAAGUUUAUCAAGACUGGCAGACCAGCAUCUGGAGAGCGCCAUGGAAAGCCUUCAACCCUAUCUGCUUGCUGUGGGGAUCCAGAGGAGUGUGAUUCACAAGUACUUCAUUGUGAUUGACAAACAUGCAAUACAUUGUAAGUCACCAGACUCUCUUGCCUGUUUUGAUGAGCUUUUCAAAGCUCACUUUGUCUUUGGUACCUCACAUCUCCCUCACUAGCUUUAAGCACCAGCUGUCAGAGCAGCUUACAGAUCACUGCACAUGUAAACAGCCCAUCUACCUACCUCAUCCCCAUACUGGUAUUUAUUUAUUUUGCUCCUUUGCACCCCAGUAUGUCUACCUGCACUUUCAUCUUAUGCCAAUCUACCGUUCCAGUGUUUAAUUGCUAUAUUGUAAUUACUUCGCCACCAUGGCCUAUUUAUUUCCUUAAACUUACCUCAUUUGCACUCACUGUAUAUAGACUUUUUGUUUUCUUUUGUU
ensembl:lncRNA